UUCCCUUCCAUUCCCUUCCAUUCCCUUGCUCUCCCUCCACACUACACCCCCAUUUUCCCUUCCCUUCCACUCCCUUCCAUUCCCUUGCUCUCCCUUCCCACUACAUCCCCCAUUUCCCUUCCCUUCCCUUCCAUUCCAUGCUCUCCCUUGCAUACCAUUCCCACUACACCCCCCAUUUCCCCUCCCUUCCAUUCCCUUUAUCUCCCUUCCCCCUACACCCCCCAUUUCCCUUCCCUUCCAUUCCCUUGCUCUAUCUUCCCACUACACACGCCUUUUCCCUUCCCGUCCUUUCCCUUGCUUUCCCUUCCCACUUCAUUCCCCAUUUCCCUUCCCUUCCAUUCCCUACAAUUCCCUUUCUCUCCCUUCCUCUCCCUUCCCACUACACCCCCCAAUUACCUUCCCUUCCAUUUGCUUACUCUUCCUUCCCAAUACACCCCCAAUUCCCUUCCCAUCCAUUCCCUUGCUCUCCCUUCCCGCUAUAGCCCCCAUUUCCCUUCCCUUCCCUUCCAUUCUCUUGCUCUCCCUUCCAUCCCCCUCCCACUUCAACCCCAUUUCCCUUCCCUUCCAUUCCCUUUAUCUCCCUUCCCACUACAACCCCCAUUUCCCUUCCCUUCCAGUCCCUUUAUCUCCCUUACCUCUACACCCCCCAUUUCCCUUCCCUUCCAUUCCCUUUCUUUCCCUUCAAUUUCCUUGCUCUACCUCCCCUUUGCACCCGCCUUUUCCCUUCCCUCCCAUUCCCUUCCAUUCCUUGCUCUCCCUUCCCGCUUCACACCCCAUUUCCCUUCCCUUCUAUUCCCUUGCUCUCUCUUUCCACUACAUGCCCCAUUUACGUUCCGUUCCAUUCCCUUGCUCUCCCUUCCCACUAUACCCGCCAUUUCCCUUCCCUUCUCUUCCAAUCCUUGCUCUCCCUUGCAUACCCCUCCCACUACACCCCCAAUUUCCCUUUCGUUCCAUUCCCUUUAUCUCUCCCUUUCCACUACACCCCCCAUUUCCCUUCCCUUCCAUUCCCUUGCUCUAUCUUCCCUCUGCACACCUCUUUUCCCUUCCCUUCCUUUCUCUUGCUCUCCCUUGCCACUUCAUCCCCCAGUUCCCUUCCCUUCCAUUCCCUUCCCUUCCCUUCCCUUCCCUUCCCUUCCCUUCCCUUCCCUUCCCUAACCGUGCUCUCCCUUCCCACUACACUCCCCUUUGCCCUUCCCUUCCCUUCCCUUCCCUUCCCUUUCCUUACCUUCAAUUCCCUUGCUCUCCCUCUCCACUACACCCCAUUUUUCCCUUUCUUUCCGUUCCCUUCCAUUCCCUUGCUCUCCCUUCCCUCUACACACCCCAUUUCCGUUCCCUUCCAUUCCCUAUCUCUCACUUCCCACUACACCCCAUUUCCCUUCCCGUACAUUCCCUUCCAUUUUCUUGCUCUCCCUUCCAACUACACCCCCUAUUUUCAUUCACUUCCAUUCCCUUGCCCUCCCUUCCCGCUACCCACCCCAUUUCCCUUCCCUUCCAUUCCCUUCCAUUCCGUUUAUCUCCCUUCCCCCUACACCCCCCAUUUCCCUUCCCUACCAUUCCCUAGUUCUCUGUUCGCACUACACCCCCCAUUUCCCUUCCCUUCCCUUCCCUUGCUCUCCCUUUCCACUAUUCCCAGCAUUUCCCUUCUCUUCCAUUCCCUUCCUCUGCCUUGCUCUCCCAUCCCACUUCACUCCCCAUUUCCCUUCCCUUCCAUUCCCAUCCAUUCCCUUCCUCUCUAAUCGCACUACACCCCUCAUUUCCCUUCCCUUCCAUUCCCUUAUUCUCCCUCCCCUCAACACCCCCCUUUUCCAUUCCCUCGCAUUCCCUUCCAUUCCCUUGAUCUCCCUUACCGCUACAAACCCCAUUUCCCUUCCCUUCUAUUCAUAAUCUCUCCCUUCCCAUCACAGAACCCCGCAUUUCACUUCCCUUCCAUUCCCUUCCAUUCACUUGUUCUCCCUUCACACUACAACCCGCAUUUCCUUUCCCUUCCAUUCCGUUAUUCUCCCUUCCCACUACACUCCCCUUUUCCCUUCCCUUCCAUUCCCUUCCCUUACCUUCAGUUCCCUUGCUCACCCUCACCACUGCACCCCCCUUUUAUCUUCCGUCCCAUUCCGUUCUAUUCCCUUGCUCUCCCAUUGCUCUUCCACCCCAUUUCCCUUCCUUUCCAUUCCCUUCCAUUCCCUUCCAUUCCCUUCCUCUCCCUUCCAUCUGCAACCCCAUUUCCCUUCCCUUCCAUUCCCUUCUGCUCCCUACCCACUACACUCCCCAUUUCCCUUCUUUUCCUUACCCUUACUCUCCCUCCCCACUACACCCCCCUUUUCCCUUCCCUACCAUUCCCUUUC
ensembl:lncRNA